rfam:Halanaerobium kushneri strain ATCC 700103 genome assembly, contig: Ga0104713_105
GGGGCGGAAUCUUAAGAUUAAGAGCUGCACCCAUUUAGAAGCUGUUAAAUACAAUAAGUUUAGUCCACCUGGAUCAAUGGACUGGGAUGGGAGG